UCUCUGAUGGCUGAGAGUUCAAAUAAGCGCUAAAUUUUUAAUUUAGAGACAGUCCGUGAAAAGGUCUUCAGAGAA
rnacentral:tRNA from 1 species